CUGCUCUCCGCCAGAGAACUACAAGUGAAAAACUUUAAACUCAAAGGACUUGGCGGUGUCCCAUAUCGACCUAGAGGAGCCUGUCCUAUAAUCGAUAUUCCCCGCUCUACCUAACCUCAACUAGCACCCCACAGCCUAUAUACCGCCGUCGACAGUCUACCCCAUGAGGGCUCAACAGUAGACACAAUAGCCCAACCGCUAGCACGUCAGGUCAAGGUGUAGCACAUGCUGAGGAAGAGAUUGGCUACAUUUUUUACAUUAAAAAACACGAAAUGCAACAUGAAACCCUGCAUGAAGGUGAAUUUAGUAGUAAGAUCUAAUGAGAGUAUUUAUCUUAACAACGCUCUGGGACGCGCACACACCGCCCGUCA
rnacentral:rRNA from 1 species